GUUUUCUUGGUGUUCAUUUUUGAGUUCUUAUGUAUUUUUGAGAUUAGCCAUCUAUCGGAGUUGUAAAAUCUUGUUUGUGAACAUCUUUUCCCAUUCUGUAGGCUGCCACUUUGUCCCAAUGAUGGUAUCCUUUUCAGUGUAGAAGCUUUUCCAUUUCAUGAGGUCCCAUGUAUUAAUUGUUGAUCUCAGUGACUUGCUGUAGGUGCUGUGUUCAGAAAGUCUCCUGUGCCAAUGAGUUCACGGUCAUUCCCCACUUUCCCUCCUAUCAGGUUCAGUGUAUCCAGUUAUACAGUGAGGUUCUGCUCAACUGGAGUUGCGUUUUGUGCAGGGUGGCUCCUCCUUCGGACCUUCGCAGUGUGGACACUUGCUUCUUCGCUGGAUUAUCAUCCCCUGGGAUCAGCAUCUUUGCCCCAACCACUCUGGGGUUUCUGUAUCUAGUAACGGCCUCUCGGAAUCCUUGAUGGAGAAGAGGCAGUUCAUCGUUGGUGUGUCUGGAAUGAAACACCUGACCGUAUCUUCAAGCUUGUCCUUACUUCUUCCAGCUCAGCCAACAGGAAGCUCUGGUUUUGCAGUUACUCAGCGUCAAUUUGCCAUCGUGUUACCCUUUGACCUACAUGAGUGCACCAGCAGGUUUUUAGCAGCCAGCAAGAGUUUGUAGCUAGCAGCAACCACUUCGUAGCAUUACAAUUGUCCUUACCGUAGCCCGAGCUACCAACAUCUUCAAUCUGGAUUAUCAAACUAAUGUCCUAAUUAGCAUCUUGGUUGUGACUCUCUC